UCCGUAGGUGAACCUGCGGAAGGAUCAUUAGUGAUUGCCAUCUUGGCUUAAACUAUAUCCAUCUACACCUGUGAACCGUUUGAUUGAAUCUUCUGAUUCAAUUUUACAAACAUUGUGUAAUGAACGUCAUUAGAUCAUAACAAAAAAAAACUUUUAACAACGGAUCUCUUGGCUCUCGCAUCGAUGAAGAACGCAGCGAAAUGCGAUAAGUAAUGUGAAUUGCAGAAUUCAGUGAAUCAUCGAAUCUUUGAACGCAACUUGCGCUCUCUGGUAUUCCGGAGAGCAUGCCUGUUUGAGUGUCAUGAAAUCUCAACCAUUAGGGUUUCUUAAUGGCUUGGAUUUGGAGGUUGCCAUUCUGAAUGGCUCCUCUUAAAGGAGUUAGCAAGUUUAACUAUUGCUAUCUGGCGUAAUAAGUUUCGCUGGAAUGGUAUUGUGAAGCGUGCUUCUAAUCGUCUUCGGACAAUUACUUUGACUCUGGCCUCAAAUCAGGUAGGACUACCCGCUGAACUUAAGCAUAUCAAUAAGCGGAGGA
rnacentral:rRNA from 1 species